rnacentral:rRNA from 1 species
AUUGAACGCUGGCGGCAGGCUUAACACAUGCAAGUCGAGCGGGGGAAGGUAGCUUGCUACCGGACCUAGCGGCGGACGGGUGAGUAAUGCUUAGGAAUCUGCCUAUUAGUGGGGGACAACAUCUCGAAAGGGAUGCUAAUACCGCAUACGUCCUACGGGAGAAAGCAGGGGGUCUUCGGACCUUGCGCUAAUAGAUGAGCCUAAGUCGGAUUAGCUAGUUGGUGGGGUAAAGGCCUACCAAGGCGACGAUCUGUAGCGGGUCUGAGAGGAUGAUGCUCCACACUGGGUCUGAGACACGGCCCAGACUCCUACGGGAGGCAGCAGUGGGGAAUAUUGGACAAUGGGGGGAACCCUGAUCCAGCCAUGCCGCGUGUGUGAAGAAGGCCUUAUGGUUGUAAAGCACUUUAAGCGAGGAGGAGGCUACUCUAGUUAAUACCUAGGGAUAGUGGACGUUACUCGCAGAAUAAGCACCGGCUAACUCUGUGCCAGCCGCCGCCGUAA